UACAGAGGGUGCGAGCGUUAAUCGGAAUUACUGGGCGUAAAGCGCACGUAGGCGGCUUGGUAUGUCGGGUGUGAAAUCCCCGGGCUCAACCUGGGAACUGCAUCCGAAACUGCCUUGCUAGAGUAUGGGAGAGGGAAGUGGAAUUUCCGGUGUAGCGGUGAAAUGCGUAGAUAUCGGGAAGGAACACAGUGGCGAAGGCGA
rnacentral:rRNA from 1 species